rnacentral:rRNA from 1 species
AUUGAACGCUGGCGGCAUGCCUUAUACAUGCAAGUCGAACGGUAACAGGUCUUCGGAUGCUGACGAGUGGCGAACGGGUGAGUAAUACAUCGGAACGUGCCUAGUAGUGGGGGAUAACUACUCGAAAGAGUGGCUAAUACCGCAUGAGAUCUACGGAUGAAAGCAGGGGAUCGCAGGACCUUGUGCUACUAGAGCGGCCGGUGGCAGAUUAGGUAGUUGGUGGGAUAAAAGCUUACCAAGCCGACGAUCUGUAGCUGGUCUGAGAGGACGAUCAGCCACACUGGGACUGAGACACGGCCCAGACUCCUACGGGAGGCAGCAGUGGGGAAUUUUGGACAAUGGGCGAAAGCCUGAUCCAGCAAUGCCGCGUGCAGGAUGAAGGCCUUCGGGUUGUAAACUGCUUUUGUACGGAACGAAAAGCCCCGGGUUAAUACCCUGGGGUCAUGACGGUACCGUAAGAAUAAGCACCGGCUAACUACGUGCCAGCAGCCGCCGUAA